rnacentral:rRNA from 1 species
GACGAACGCUGGCGGCGUGCUUAACACAUGCAAGUCGAGCGGUAAGGCCCUUUCGGGGUACACGAGCGGCGAACGGGUGAGUAACACGUGGGUGACCUGCCCUCAGCUCUGGGAUAAGCCUGGGAAACCGGGUCUAAUACCGGAUAUGACUCCAUGACGCAUGUUGUGGGGUGGAAAGCCUUGUGCGGCUGAGGAUGGGCCCGCGGCCUAUCAGCUUGUUGGUGGGGUGAUGGCCUACCAAGGCGACGACGGGUAGCCGGCCUGAGAGGGCGACCGGCCACACUGGGACUGAGACACGGCCCAGACUCCUACGGGAGGCAGCAGUGGGGAAUCUUGCGCAAUGGGCGAAAGCCUGACGCAGCGACG